GGGUCGCUAGCUCAGGGGGAGAGCACUACCUUGACACGGUAGGGGUCACAAGUUCAAAUCUUGUGCGACCCACCA
rnacentral:tRNA from 1 species